GCCCAGACUCCUACGGGAGGCAGCAGUGGGGAAUAUUGCACAAUGGGGGAAACCCUGAUGCAGCGACGCCGCGUGAGCGAUGAAGUAUUUCGGUAUGUAAAGCUCUAUCAGCAGGGAAGAAAAUGACGGUACCUGACUAAGAAGCCCCGGCUAACUACGUGCCAGCAGCCGCGGUAAUACGUAGGGGGCAAGCGUUAUCCGGAUUUACUGGGUGUAAAGAGAGCGUAGACGGCAAUGCAAGCCAGAUGUGAAAGCCCGGGGCUCAACCCCGGGACUGCAUUUGGAACUGUGUAGCUGGAGUGUCGGAGAGGCAGGCGGAAUUCCUAGUGUAGCGGUGAAAUGCGUAGAUAUUAGGAGGAACACCAGUGGCGAAGGCGGCCUGCUGGACGAUGACUGACGUUGAGGCUCGAAAGCGUGGGGAGCAAACAGGAUUAGAUACCCUUGUA
rnacentral:rRNA from 1 species